UUAUUCUGGCAGCUUUUUAGACAUAUAUGGGAAGAUGCAACAGUUCUCUGGUGACUACUGUUUUUAUGUGGGGAAAAAAAUCCUGUUGCUUUAAGUGGAGUUUUCUGUGAGUCUUUCUUUUGUAAAGCUUGAAAGCUACUGUCUGAAGGAAACAGAAAUGCUUCUGAAGGAUACAGAGAAAAGAGCUGUGGCCCUUAUCCACCAUCCAGAUAGGAGGGCAGAGGAGGAUGUUUCAAAUCAGCUGGACAACACAUCCUCUGAAGACAUCUCUGUCUGGCCACGGACUGGAGUUAGAAAACCACCUUUGGCAUGUAACUUUCAGAUGACUAAAGUUGGGGACAGUGAAGUAGCUGAGCUAAGCUCUUAACUGAAUUUAACAGGGACUACCCAGUCUGCAAAGAUCCCACCUGCUCUCUUGUUUCUCCAGCAAAGCAAGUUGAACGAGGAAGAAUUUCUUUUAUCUACCUUCACAUUUGAGGAAAAGGAGAAAUUAACUUAAAAGCUACAGAUUUGUCACAUAGCUCCUGUGGUGGGGAGCAAUCCUCUUCAGCAGAAAGAUGUCUCCACUUUCAUCCACUGUACUGAGCUCAGCCCCUCCUGGUAUGCAGACGACGUAUAGCAGCUUUAGCGUUUGGAACGCGGCUCACCCCACAAGAUGUUUAACAGACUACUGGUUAAACUCGAGAAGUGUUGUUUACUCCAGAAGUGUCUGGAAGCAGUUAUGCUUAAUAAACUGGAUACCUUGUUUUUGAUGGGAUAAUAUGUAGAGCUGUGUUUUGCUAAAUCUUCUGACUUUGAGCCAAACCCAAUUCUUCUUGCGGGAUCUGCCAUCGCAAACACAGAUCUUAAAACAGGCUUUUAGACGCUGGCCUAUCAACAGUGUGCUGAGGAGGCUGCUACUAGGCUUCCCCUUGGUACCACCUUCUCCAAAUUCUGAGAUCUACAGCUCUGCUGUAACAGAGGAACCACAUCCAUGAAAGGAGAAACAAUUUAAACAGAAAACAAUACCUAGGAGUAACAUGAAGAAAAUGGUUGGGGAUUUCUUUUUUUUCCUUUCUGUUGGUAUGAUUAAAAUAACUACAGAACCAUUUCCAAGUGGAUAACAAAAAAAAAAGAAACAAAACCAAAAAAUGCCUGUCACAGCUGACAUGGAUAUAACUUUUAAUGAUUUAAUAUUGAUUAAGGCAUAAAAAUAAUUUUAGACUAAGUCCUUUUAUCAGGUGGCAAUACAGGAAAAUUUUCAUUUCUGGAGUAUACUCAGUGCAGAAUCCAAUUGGUAGUUUACUUCAUAGGAUAUUCAAAGCAUGUUCUUUGAAAAUUUAAAAUCAUGAACAUUUUAAGACAGGUAAAAACUGUAUUGGCUUCCGAAGUGCCUCUAAUUUUACAGAGUAUACUGUCUCAAACUAUGCUGAACUUGACCAUACUACAAAAUAUAGUAUGUGAUAUUAACCAUAUGUAUCAUAUACUUGGUGCAAGGAAUACAGCAGCAAUAUAGGCUGAGAGGCUGAGUGGUUAUGCAGCAACUCUGCAGAAAAGGACGUGGGUUAAGCUGUGGAGGAGCCAGCAGCAUGCCCUGGCAGCAGCGAGCACUGUGUGAACAGGAGCACAGGCAGGUUGAGGGACCAGUGCUUGUUCAGCUCAGAGGUGAGAUGGCUCCAGGGGGGAAAAAAGCACUCUACUAGCUACAAGGAAGUUAUCACUAAAAUGGGGCCAGGCUCUUCACAGAGGCUCAUGAUGGGAGUAUGAGAGACAAUGAGAGUAUGUUAUGAGGUUCAGGCUGCAUGUCUGAAAAAAACCCUUUCCCCCUAAGCACAAUCAAGCAGCAGCAAAAUUUUCCUAGAGAGGCUUUAAGCUGUAAUUAGACUGUAAUCCUAAAAAACAAAUUUAACAGCCAACACAAGUUAGCUGUAAAUUAUAUUAUUGAAGGAAAAAACAAACAAACAAACAAACAACAAACUAACUAAAAUUGUGUUGUAACUCAAAAUACUCUAAAAAAAUACUUUAUGGCACAAUAGUUGGUGGCUGCCUGCUGUCUAUUAAACAGCUGUAAGAAUUUAAUGCCUUUCAUUCUGCUAAUAUUGCAGUAUUGUGCUAUAAAGCAUGUUCCACACUGCUAACAGGUUCAGAUCUAAGACCUUGUGAAAAACAAACCCGUGCUAUGCUGUAGCAGACUCAACUGAAGAUUUAUGUCACCUUUGGGAACUCAUCUGUUAAGCUCUGCUGUACAGGUGACUUUCUAAAUUAACGUAAAUUAACAAGAAUUUUCUAGGUCCUAUGAAAACAGUAGAAUUUUCUGUCAUCUAUUCAAAGGCAUGUUAGAAAAGGCUCUCCAUAAAAAUACUAAAAACUUCUAUUUUAAAAUUAUCUUGUAUCUAAUGCUGUAACACUGAAUCAACGCAUAUAACUUUCUGCUGAUAAGAAGAGUAUAGAAACCAAACAUAUCACAAAGCACAGCUGUCACACUGGACUCAUAAUGGACUAUCUCUUGCUUUUUACCCAUGAAAAUGGCAUCAGGGCCAUUCUGAAAAAAAAAAAAAAAAAAAAAAAAAA